rnacentral:sRNA from 1 species
GGAAAAAAAACGAAAAAAA